AGCUCUACUUUCUUGCCGUUUGAUUUGCAUUUUCUUUUAUAGCAUUGUAGAUGGAUUUGUUUUUUUAUCUCUCUGUUUUGAACAUAUUUUGAUUUGUUGCAUAUGUUGUAGCCUCACAUGUCCGAUAGUCAGAGCGUCAAGAUGUCUUGCUUUCAUUUGCCUCAGUAGUUGUCCAAAUAAAUUUCUUUAGUUGAAAUCAUCAUUUCCUCUGAGCAGGAGUUAUAGUCAUCAGCUUGGUUGGUAAUCAUACUUUUGCCACUUCAAAAAUUACAAAAAGUUUUGGAGUAUUUACAAAAAACAAGAAAACACCUAUCAACUAAAAUAAUCUGUGAGAAGCAAAAAGUAAUAUCUAGACUGAAAUAACAGAAUGCAAGAAAUCAAAUAGAGAAGCAUUGAAGAUAGGGAACCAAGGAUCUAGAAAUCAUGAAGAAAUAUAGUCACCUCCAUCUCUUUGUUGUCAUUAUUUUAAGAGCUUAGCCUGUCCUUUAUUCUAAUUGAUAGACCAUAGCUCCUGCCAUAAAUUUUACAAAUUAAGCAAAUCUUAGUCAUACAAAAUACCAAAUCAAACUUAAUUUUCAUACUUAUAAAAAAAAAGAUUGAAAAUGAAUGUGAUAAGUAUAAAAAAG
rnacentral:lncRNA from 1 species